UAACCUGACCUUCCUUACUGACAGCGUGGUGUGGCCCUGAUGGUGAUGAUGAUGGUGGUGAUGGUGAUGAAGGUGAUGAUAGUGUUUAACCUGACCUUCCUUACUGACAGCGUGGCGUGGCCGUGAUGGUGAUGGUGGUGGUGAUGGUGAUGAAGGUGAUGAUAGUGUUUAACCUGACCUUCCUUACUGACAGCGUGGCGUGGCCGUGAUGGUGAUGGUGGUGGUGAUGAAGGUGAUGAUAGUGUUUAACCUGACCUUCCUUACUGACAGCGUGGUGUGGCCGUGAUGGUGAUGGUGGUGGUGAUGGUGAUGAAGGUGAUGAUAGUGUUUAACCUGACCUUCCUUACUGACAGCGUGGUGUGGC